CACACGAUUCUCUGUGUGUUGUGAGUCUCUUGCAGUUGUCUUGUUAGGCUUUCAUCUUUAUUUUUGCACAAAAUAUCCUUUGAAUUUUAAUUAAAUUUGUUUCUGCUAUGCGCUGAGAGUCGCAGGAUGUUUGAAGGGACUCUUUCCUUUCUGUGUUUCUGUUCCGUGCUCUGCGCUGAGAGUCACAGGCUGUUUGAAGGGAGUUACUCUGCAUUUUCAAGUGUUUGAUAGGUCUUGUGUGCAUUUUCAAGUGUUUGAUAGGACUAUUGUGUGCAUUUUAAGAGUGUUUCGAAGAAGUGUUUUUACCUAUUGUCUACGUUUUCUGUUGAUUUUCCAUGUUUUGCAGGAAAUGGCGGGUGCUUCAAGCGGUCGCGCUGGUUAUGGACUGUACGUAUAACAGCUCGUUUUUGAUGUAGAUGUCGUUCUCCACAACCAAAUUGAUGAUGAAGCAUUGAGAACAUAUUUAUUUACAAAAUGUCCAUUCAAUUCAUCCCACUACAUGGUGGAAUUUUAGCGUCCACUUUUGUACAUUUCUGUCGUUUUGGUGUUCUCUAAAUGAUUUCGUACAACACUUACGUUUCAGAAAAAUGUUAAGCUUAUAGAAGCUCUUAUAAAUGGAAUUGUGAUAAUGUUUUGAACUUUUUUGUGUGGGGUGAGAAUGUCAUAGGGGUCCUUCUAAUUCAUUGUGGGUAAUGUGUAAUGUUCACAUGAACUGAACCAAAUCUUUUCAUUGUCUUUCUUAAGAAUGCAGAAAUCAGGUAUAGCACCCCUACCCCUCUAUAAUUUGAUGAUGGCGGCAUGUUUGGUCAAAGCAUUACAUUACUUUACUUUACUUUUUGUUUUCUACGGCCUGCCUAAUUUAUGAUUAAACAUUUUGUACGGCCUUUACAUUAUAUUGUCUGUGUAUUUGUUCUGCGCAGGAAAUGACAGGUGCUGAAAGCGGUCAAGCUUGUUAUGGAGCGGCAUGUUUGGUCAAAGCAUUUAAUCAUUACUUUUUGUUUUAUAUGCCCGAUUUAGGGUUAAAUGUAUUUUUGUUUUUUGUGGCAGUUUCCCAGAUAUUUUAACACUUCGAUUUUUUAAGUUUUAUAUAAUAAAAUAUGUUUUCUAUAGUUUAUGGUUUUAUUAAAAAAAAUUAUAUUUUAAGUUGAGGAUGAGAUAAAAGUAAUUAACCAUUAUAUUUAACAUUUUAAUGGUGUGUUGAUUAAAUUAAUUAUUUAAUAUAAUUUAAGAUUUAUAUAUUUUUAUUAGUAAUAACAAAUUUUUUAUUUUAGUUAGAUGGUUAUAUGUAUACAAAGUUAAUAUAACUUAAGUUUUAGGAUAAUGUUAUAUGAUACAAAGACAUUAUAAAUGAAUUAAAAAAAAAUGAAAAUUUGAAGAUUGUUGAUGAUAGAAGAAAUUAGGAGAGGGAGAGAUUUCAAAAAUUGUUGAAAGGAAGACUUUUAAAGAAGAUGGGUAUUUUUAAAUCUUCAAUAUUCAUUUUUUUAAAUUUUCUUUCAUAAUGUCUUUGUAUUAAGUAAUAUUUUUUUUUAAAUUUUGUUUAUAUUGAUUUUGUAUACAUAAUGAUUAUUUAACAAAAAUUGAAUAAUUUUUUGUCAUUAAUAAAAUAUAUGUAUGCUAUAAAUUAUGAUCAAUGUUUUUAUAUAAUCACUACUAUUAGGUUGUUUCUUUAUAUUGUGUGUGCAUAUGUGUGUUCUACAGGGAAAUCUUAUCAUCCCUUAGCUUGAAGUUACUCUAUGGAAACUUGAUAUUAUGUUGGUGCUUCAUGUUGAAAGCUCAAAAAACUAUUUAAUUCUUGAUCGGGAAAGACCUCUACCUUGAAUUGCCUGUAGAGAAGCUUGGAUUAUGUUGGUGCUUCAUGUUGAAGCUCAAAAAUCAUAUAAUUGUAGAUCAGGAGAAGUGGAUCCCAAAUCUUGAAGUGCCUCUAUGUAAACUUGGGAUUAUGUUGGUGCUUCUUAGAUUGAAGUGGCUUUCCAAAAAAUUCAUAUCUUGCUGGAGCUCAAAAGAACAUAUAAUCUUGAAGUGCUUCUAUGUAAACUUGGUUUUAUGUCGGUGCUUCUUAGAUUGAAGUGGCUCUAUAGAAAAUUCAUAUCUUGCUGGAGCUCAAAAGAACAUAUAAUAUUGAAGUGCUUCUAUGUAAACUUGGUAUUAUGUUGGUGCUUCUUAAAUUGAAGUGGCUCUAUAGAAAAUUCAUAUCUUGCUGGA